rnacentral:rRNA from 1 species
UUAACACAUGCAAGUCGAGCGGAAAGGCCCUUCGGGGUACUCGAGCGGCGAACGGGUGAGUAACAUGUGAGGAAUCUGCCCUUAGCUCUGGGAUAGCUCCGGGAAACCGGGAUUAAUACCGGAUAUGACUGCGGCCGACAUCGGCUGUGGUGGAAAGUUUUUCGGCUGGGGAUGACCUCGCGGCCUAUCAGCUUGUUGGUGAGGUAAUGGCUCACCAAGGCGACGACGGGUAGCCGGCCUGAGAGGGCGACCGGCCACACUGGGACUGAGACACGGCCCAGACUCCUACGGGAGGCAGCAGUGGGGAAUAUUGCGCAAUGGGCGGAAGCCUGACGCAGCGACGCCGCGUGCGGGAUGAAGGCCUUCGGGUUGUAAACCGCUUUCAGCAGGGACGAAGCGCAAGUGACGGUACCUGCAGAAGAAGCGCCGGCUAACUACGUGCCAGCAGCCGCGGUAAU